rnacentral:rRNA from 1 species
ACGAACGCUGGCGGCGUGCCUAAUACCUGCAAGUAGAACGCUGAAGAGAGGAGCUUGCUCUUCUUGGAUGAGUUGCGAACGGGUGAGUAACGCGUAGGUAACCUGCCUUGUAGCGGGGGAUAACUAUUGGAAACGAUAGCUAAUACCGCAUAACAAUGGAUGACACAUGUCAUUUAUUUGAAAGGGGCAAUUGCUCCACUACAAGAUGGACCUGCGUUGUAUUAGCUAGUAGGUGAGGUAACGGCUCACCUAGGCGACGAUACAUAGCCGACCUGAGAGGGUGAUCGGCCACACUGGGACUGAGACACGGCCCAGACUCCUACGGGAGGCAGCAGUAGGGAAUCUUCGGCAAUGGGGGCAACCCUGACCGAGCAACGCCGCGUGAGUGAAGAAGGUUUUCGGAUCGUAAAGCUCUGUUGUAAGUCAAGAACGAGUGUGAGAGUGGAAAGUUCACACUGUGACGGUAGCUUACCAGAAAGGGACGGCUAACUACGUG